rnacentral:lncRNA from 1 species
UAUUAUUGACCCUGCAGAUAUAGAAGCCCUUGAAUGUGCUCUAGAUGAAAACAAUGUCAAUAUUGAAGGAAGUGGUUUACUUGUUAUAUUGGUGUUUUUCUUUUGUGUCUUCACCAUAACAAACACAAGUUAUUCUGAUACAAGUGUCAUUACUCUUUCAUGCAGGUUAGUCUCUUCUUCACAGAGUCUCCAACAAAUCCAUUCCUGAGAUGUGUUGACAUAGAGUUGGUUGCAAAGCUUUGCCACAAAAAAGGAGCCCUCGUCUGCAUAGAUGGAACAUUUGCAACACCUCUCAACC